AUUGAACGCUGGCGGCAUGCCUUACACAUGCAAGUCGAACGGUAACAGGUCUUCGGAUGCUGACGAGUGGCGAACGGGUGAGUAAUACAUCGGAACGUGCCUAGUAGUGGGGGAUAACUACUCGAAAGAGUGGCUAAUACCGCAUGAGAUCUACGGAUGAAAGCAGGGGAUCGCAAGACCUUGUGCUACUAGAGCGGCCGAUGGCAGAUUAGGUAGUUGGUGGGAUAAAAGCUUACCAAGCCGACGACCUGUAGCUGGUCUGAGAGGACGAUCAGCCACACUGGGACUGAGAAACGGCCCAGACUCCUACGGGAGGCAGCAGCGGGGAAUUUUAGACAAUGGGCGCAAGCCUGAUCCAGCAAUGCCGCGUGCAGGAUGAAGGCCUUCGGGUUGUAAACUGCUUUUGUACGGAACGAAAAGCCCUGGGUUAAUACCCUGGGGUCAUGACGGUACCGUAAGAAUAAGCACCGGCUAACUACGUGCCAGCCGCCGCCGUAACAC
rnacentral:rRNA from 1 species